AGCCUGGAGCAGAGGAGGCUCAGGGGCGACCUUAUCGCACUCUACAGGAAACCUGCUCUCUGAAGAACUGCAAAGGAGGUAAACACAUUGCUUUCCUGGAAUAGCUUUGGGAUGCCAAAAGCAUGAAUGAAAUCAGUGAGAACUUCCUCCUAUGUGCGUUACACUGGAUUAAGCUUCAGCUAUGUUUCAGGAGGCCACUCCAAGAACGGGUGACUCACAAGCCUUGUACCAAACAGCCAUUGCCAUCAGUCACGGACAGCUUUUUUCUCAGCAAAACCCGGUAAAAGUAGUUUGAACUCCAUCUAUCAGUGACAGAAGAAGUGGACAACAAAGCAUAAAUUAAAACU